CCGGCAAACGGGUGCGGAACACGUACGCAAUCUACCCAAAACUGGUGAAUAGCCUCCGAAAGGAGGAUUAAUACACCGUAACAUAUUGAGAAGGCAUCUUUUUAAUAUUAAAGCUCCGGCGGUUUUGGAUGAGCGUGCGCCUGAUUAGGUAGUUGGCGGGGUAACGGCCCACCAAGUCUGCGAUCAGUAACUGGUGUGAGAGCACGACCAGUCACACGGGCACUGAGACACGGGCCCG
rnacentral:rRNA from 1 species